rnacentral:rRNA from 1 species
CGAGCGCACCCUUGUCCUUAUUUGCCAGCAGCGUAAUGGUGGGAACUCUAAGGAGACUGCCGGUGACAAACCGGAGGAAGGUGGGGACGACGUCAAGUCAUCAUGGCCCUUAUGACCAGGGCUACACACGUGCUACAAUGGGGCGUACAGAGGGUUGCUAACUCGCGAGGGGGAGCCAAUCCCAGAAAACCUUUCGUAGUCCGGAUCGAAGUCUGCAACUCGACUUCGUGAAGUCGGAAUCGCUAGUAAUCGCGAAUCAGCAAUGUCGCGGUGAAUACGUUCCCGGGCCUUGCACACACCGCCCGU